rnacentral:rRNA from 1 species
AUUGAACGCUGGCGGCAGGCCUAACACAUGCAAGUCGAGCGGAGCGGCGGACGGGUGAGUAAUGACUAGGAGUCUGUCUGGUAGUGGGGGAUAACGUCCGGCAACGGGCGCUAAUACCGCCUAUUCUCAGGUGAACCUAGGUGGGAUUCGCUAGUUGGUUGGGUAAAGGCCUACAAAGGCGACGAUCCGUCACUGGUCUGAGAGGAUGAUCAGUCACACUGGAACUGAGACACGGUCCAGACUCCUACGGGAGGCAGCAGUGGGGAAUAUUGGACAAUGGGCGAAAGCCUUAUCCAGCCAUGCCGCGUGUGUGAAGAAGGUCUUCGGAUUGUAAAGUACUUUAAGUUGGGAGGCGUUACCAACAGAAUAAGCACCGGCUAACUUCGUGCCAGCAGCCGCGGUAAUUC